rnacentral:rRNA from 1 species
UACGGAGGGUGCAAGCGUUAUCCGGAUUCACUGGGUUUAAAGGGUGCGUAGGCGGGCAGGUAAGUCCGUGGUGAAAUCUCUGAGCUUAACUCAGAAACUGCCAUGGAUACUAUUUGUCUUGAAUAUUGUGGAGGUAAGCGGAAUAUGUCAUGUAGCGGUGAAAUGCUUUGAUAUGACAUAGAACACCAAUUGCGAAGGCAGCUUACUACACAGUUAUUGACGCUGAGGCACGAAAGCGCGGGGAUCAAACAGG